rnacentral:rRNA from 1 species
UACGAAGGGGGCUAGCGUUGCUCGGAAUCACUGGGCGUAAAGCGCACGUAGGCGGACUCUUAAGUCGGUGGUGAAAUCCUGGAGCUCAACUCCAGAACUGCCUUCGAUACUGAGAGUCUUGAGUCCGGGAGAGGUGAGUAGAACUGCGAGUGUAGAGGUGAAAUUCGUAGAUAUUCGCAAGAACACCAGUGGCGAAGGCGGCUCACUGGCCCGGUACUGACGCUGAGGUGCGAAAGCGUGGGGAGCAAACAGG